rnacentral:rRNA from 1 species
GACGAACGCUGGCGGCGUGCUUAACACAUGCAAGUCGAACGGAAAGGCCCUGCUUUUGUGGGGUGCUCGAGUGGCGAGCGGGUGAGUAACACGUGAGUAACCUGCCCUUGACUUUGGGAUAACUUCAGGAAACUGGGGCUAAUACCGGAUAGGAGCUCCUGCUGCAUGGUGGGGGUUGGAAAGUUUCGGCGGUUGGGGAUGGACUCGCGGCUUAUCAGCUUGUUGGUGGGGUAGUGGCUUACCAAGGCUUUGACGGGUAGCCGGCCUGAGAGGGUGACCGGCCACAUUGGGACUGAGAUACGGCCCAGACUCCUACGGGAGGCAGCAGUGGGGAAUAUUGCACAAUGGGCGGAAGCCUGAUGCAGCAACGCCGCGUGCGGGAUGACGGCCUUCGGGUUGUAAACCGCUUUCGCCUGUGACGAAGCGUGAGUGACGGUAAUGGGUAAAGAAGCACCGGCUAACUACGUGCCGGCAGCCGCGGUGAUACGUAGGGUGCGAGCGUUGUCCGGAUUUAUUGGGCGUAAAGGGCUCGUAGGUGGUUGAUCGCGUCGGAAGUGUAAUCUUGGGGCUUAACCCUGAGCGUGCUUUCGAUACGGGUUGACUUGAGGAAGGUAGGGGAGAAUGGAAUUCCUGGUGGAGCGGUGGAAUGCGCAGAUAUCAGGAGGAACACCAGUGGCGAAGGCGGUUCUCUGGGCCUUUCCUGACGCUGAGGAGCGAAAGCGUGGGGAGCGAACAGGCUUAGAUACCCUGGUAGUCCACGCUGUAAACGGUGGGUACUAGGUGUGGGGUCCAUUCCACGGGUUCCGUGCCGUAGCUAACGCUUUAAGUACCCCGCCUGGGGAGUACGGCCGCAAGGCUAAAACUCAAAGGAAUUGACGGGGCCCCGCACAAGCGGCGGAGCAUGCGGAUUAAUUCGAUGCAACGCGUAGAACCUUACCUGGGUUUGACAUGGAUCGGGAGUGCUCAGAGAUGGGUGUGCCUCUUUUGGGGUCGGUUCACAGGUGGUGCAUGGCUGUCGUCAGCUCGUGUCGUGAGAUGUUGGGUUAAGUCCCGCAACGAGCGCAACCCUUGUUCACUGUUGCCAGCACGUUAUGGUGGGGACUCAGUGGAGACCGCCGGGGUCAACUCGGAGGAAGGUGGGGAUGACGUCAAGUCAUCAUGCCCCUUAUGUCCAGGGCUUCACGCAUGCUACAAUGGCUGGUACAGAGAGUGGCGAGCCUGUGAGGGUGAGCGAAUCUCGGAAAGCCGGUCUCAGUUCGGAUUGGGGUCUGCAACUCGACCUCAUGAAGUCGGAGUCGCUAGUAAUCGCAGAUCAGCAACGCUGCGGUGAAAACGUUCCCGGG